rnacentral:hammerhead_ribozyme from 1 species
AUUCAGCUGACGAGUCCCAAACAGGACCAAACGCACGUCCUCGAU